UACGUAGGGUGCAAGCGUUAAUCGGAAUUACUGGGCGUAAAGCGUGCGCAGGCGGUCUUGCAAGACAGAUGUGAAAUCCCCGGGCUCAACCUGGGAACUGCAUUUGUGACUGCAAGGCUGGAGUACGGUAGAGGGGGAUGGAAUUCCGCGUGUAGCAGUGAAAUGCGUAGAUAUGCGGAGGAACACCGAUGGCGAAGGCAAUCCCCUGGGAUAACACUGACGCUCAUGCACGAAAGCGUGGGGAGCAAACAGG
rnacentral:rRNA from 1 species